rnacentral:rRNA from 1 species
GGGUUGUGAGGUUAAGCGACUAAGCGUACACGGUGGAUGCCCUGGCAGUCAGAGGCGAUGAAGGACGUGCUAAUCUGCGAUAAGCGCCGGUAAGGUGAUAUGAACCGUUAUAACCGGCGAUUUCCGAAUGGGGAAACCCAGUGUGACUCGUCACACUAUCAUUAACUGAAUCCAUAGGUUAAUGAGGCGAACCGGGGGAACUGAAACAUCUAAGUACCCCGAGGAAAAGAAAUCAACCGAGAUUCCCCCAGUAGCGGCGAGCGAACGGGGAGGAGCCCAGAGCCUGAAUCAGCAUGUGUGUUAGUGGAAGCGUCUGGAAAGGCGCGCGAUACAGGGUGACAGCCCCGUACACAAAAGCGCAUGUGCUGUGAGCUCGAUGAGUAGGGCGGGACACGUGGUAUCCUGUCUGAAUAUGGGGGGACCAUCCUCCAAGGCUAAAUACUCCUGACUGACCGAUAGUGAACCAGUACCGUG